GUCUAGCUUAUAAGUAAAUAUGCCAUCGUCAAUUUCUUUUGGUUUGCUUGAAGAGCCCGAAACGCGGAAACCUUCGAAAGCGCGCUUGCUUUUGGCCACGUUGUUUCUGGUGCUACUCGUCUUGUCUGUCGUGUUUAUUGCGUUGUAUGCUGUGGAGAAAAAUAAGUCGACCAGCGAUGGCAGUUCGUCCAAGCACAAGCAGCCGAACGGUACAGUAACACCGAGUACAACUGCGCGUCCAGCAAAUGCCACAACCAGUUCGCCAACACGUUCUACAACAGGGACAGCUCCUUCAACGAAGACCUGUCGUACCCCUUCUUGUGUCACGAGUGCUGCAGACAUAUUAAACAAACUUGAUCAAUCCACGAAGCCAUGUGAUGAUUUUUAUCAGUACAGUUGUGGAGGAUUCUUAAAGAAGAGUCACAUUCCCGAUGGCCAAACGUACAACUAUAUCAAUUCUGUGCUUGCUGGCACAGAGAAUGUUCAGUAUACUUUGAGAGAUCUAUUGCAAAACAAACAGUUGAUGAAGAAUUACUCUGCGGAUCCAAAUUCAGCUGUCUAUAAAGCAUUUGUAUACUACAGUUCCUGCAUGGACGACAGCGCCAUCGAAAGCGCUGGAAUCCAACCAAUUCUUGACGUCAUAGAAAAAUAUGGCUCCUGGAACAUAACUAACAAAAACUGGAAUGGGGAUUCCUGGGAACUGGAGAAAGUUCUUGCCAGAGUACUGAUUGAUAUUGAAGUACCAGCUUUUCUUGCUUUGGAUGUUAAGCAAUCGUUCUUCAACACAUCUGAAGUCUUGGUUACGAUUGGCGGAGGGUUCUCUGGUGAUGACGAGAGACAACUGGACGAAAAGCAAGCGCGUUCAAGAGAGCGUUGGAUUGAAGAGAUGAAAUAUGAACCCUUCGAUUUUCGUAAAGACUACAAGAAGUUUAUGUCCACGAUAUUCCGCUUACUUGGGUCAAAUUCGUCUGUUGAUGUUGAAGUGAAGCGUAUUGUCGAUUUGGAAGAUGAUUUUUCAUCGGUCCGAAAGUUUUUUACUCCGAAAGAAUUUAAGCCAAGUGAUGUUUCUUUUAUGACUUUAGACGAGUUGAAUAAUUUUACAUCGUUUAAGUUUAAUUGGACGACAUAUUUUACGGAAAUACUAAAAGGCACAGGUAAAUCUAUUGUGCCAAAUCAAAAAAUCAUGAUAGCACUGCCAAACAACGUUAAAAAGAUCGUAAACUGGCUUGCAGACAAACCAAAGAGUCUUCUUGCUAACGAGAUAAUGUGGAACACUGUGAAAGGCUUGAUACCUACAUUACCGAAGGCAUUUAGAGAAGCACGACAGGAAUAUUUUAAGAGUUUUAAAGUGACGCUUCCGCCUAGAUGGCAGACGUGUAACGGUUUAACAGACAAGCUUUUUACACUUGUAACAACUUUGCUGUAUGUUAACGAACAGGUGUCAGAAAGUGCAAGGACAACGGCAGCAGAAAUGUUUGCUGAGAUCAAAGGCCAGUUCAUUGAUGGUUUGAGAGAACAAUAUUGGAUGGACAAUGCAACCCGCGCUCAGGCGCACCUAAAGCUGGACAAAAUGGAAGAUUGGAUUGGAUUUCCAUUGUUUAUUAAGAAUACAACCAAACUGAAUAGCUAUUACAGAAAUGUUAAAGUCGAUCAAUCUCGCCUGUUACAGAAUAACCUGAAUUCCUUAAAGGAAAAAAGUCGAAAGAAAAUAAACGAAGUAGGAAAACCCCCGGUUAAUGACAGAUUUAAAGUUUCGCCUCUUACGGUCAAUGCUUAUUAUGACCCUCAAGCAAACGGGAUGACUAUUUUGGCGGGAAUAUUACAACAACCUUUCUACAAAGAUGGCAGACUAAAGGCAUUGAACUAUGGAUCGCUUGGUAUGAUCGUAGGUCAUGAAAUCACUCACGGGUUUGAUAAGACAGGUAGUCAAUAUCGACGAGAAUGGAAACUUUCGCGAAUGGUGGACCAAUGCAUCACAUGACAAUUUCGUGAAGCGAUCGAAAUGUUUAAUUGAUCAGUACAACAACGUUACAAUAUUUGGUGAGAAGGUCGAUGGGAAGAAGACACUGUCAGAAAACAUUGCUGAUAAUGGAGGAUUGAAAUAUGCUUUCAGAGCAUAUCAGAAAUGGCGGGAAACAAAUGGAGAUGAAGACAGGCUACCAGCUCUUCCUUUCGAUAAUAACCAACUUUUCUUCGUUAGCUUUGCC
rnacentral:misc_RNA from 1 species